GGUCGUGUGGCGUAAUGGCAACGCGUCUGACUACGAAGUGUUAUCAGGAGAUUGCAGGUUCGACCCCUGUCUCGAUCA
rnacentral:tRNA from 1 species